UACGGGAGGCAGCAGUGGGGAAUAUUGCACAAUGGGCGCAAGCCUGAUGCAGCCAUGCCGCGUGUAUGAAGAAGGCCUUCGGGUUGUAAAGUACUUUCAGCGGGGAGGAAGGCGAUGUGGUUAAUAACCGCGUCGAUUGACGUUACCCGCAGAAGAAGCACCGGCUAACUCCGUGCCAGCAGCCGCGGUAAUACGGAGGGUGCAAGCGUUAAUCGGAAUUACUGGGCGUAAAGCGCACGCAGGCGGUCUGUUAAGUCAGAUGUGAAAUCCCCGGGCUUAACCUGGGAACUGCAUUUUGAAACUGGCAGGCUUGAGUCUCGUAGAGGGGGUAGAAUUCCAGGUGUAGCGGUGAAAUGCGUAGAGAUCUGGAGGAAUACCGGUGGCGAAGGCGGCCCCUGGACGAAGACUGACGCUCAGGGUGCGAAAGCGUGGGGAGCAAACAGGAUUAGAUACC
rnacentral:rRNA from 1 species